GAUGAACGCUGGCUACAGGCUUAACACAUGCAAGUCGUGGGGAAACGGCAUUAUGUGCUUGCACAUUCUGGACGUCGACCGGCGCACGGGUGAGUAUCGCGUAUCCAACCUGCCCCUUACUUGGGGAUACCCCGUUGAAAGACGGCCUAAUACCCGAUGUGUUUCAUUGACGGCAUCCGAUAUGAAACAAAGGUUUUUCCGGUAAGGGAUGGGGAUGCGUCUGAUUAGCUAGUUGGCGGGGCAACGGCCCACCAAGGCGACGAUCAGUAGGGGUUCUGAGAGGAAGGUCCCCCACAUUGGAACUGAGACACGGUCCAAACUCCUACGGGAGGCAGCAGUGAGGAAUAUUGGUCAAUGGACGCAAGUCUGAACCAGCCAAGUAGCGUGCAGGAUGACGGCCCUAUGGGUUGUAAACUGCUUUUAUGUGGGAAUAAAUUGGCGCACGUGUGCGCCAUUUGCAUGUACCUCAUGAAUAAGGACCGG
rnacentral:rRNA from 1 species